rnacentral:rRNA from 1 species
UGGCGCUAUUUUAACGGGCGUGUGUAAGCGGCAAAAGCUCAAAUUUGAAAUCCCCCCGGGGAGUUGUAAUUUGAAGAUUGCGUCUUGGAGGCGACCGUGUCUAUGUUCCUUGGAACAGGACGUCACAGAGGGUGAGAAUCCCGUGCGGCACGGCCCCCGGCUCCUUAUAAGGCGCUCUCGACGAGUCGAGUUGUUUGGGAAUGCAGCUCAAAGUGGGUGGUAAAUUCCAUCUAAAGCUAAAUACAGGCGAGAGACCGAUAGCGAACAAGUACAGUGAUGGAAAGAUGAAAAGCACUUUGAAAAGAGAGUGAAACAGCACGUGAAAUUGUUGAAAGGGAAGGGCAUGCCGUCAGAUUGUCAGUGUGGGUAAGAAGCGGGGUACAAAGACUGUGGAACGUGGCCCUCGGGUGUUAUAGCCGCAGUUCAUGCCCCGUCUCUUUCCGAGGCCUGCUUUGAGGACACCGACGUAAUGACGGUACGCCGCCCGUCUUGAAACACGGACCA